rnacentral:lncRNA from 1 species
AUUUCAGGCAACUUCGUCCUCCCUUUUUCCUGCUCUCCCAGCUUUGGCUGUUCAGCUCAAGCUCGGGGAAAGGUCUUCCACCUUGACAUACACGUUUCAGGGAAAACUGAGAAAGCCAAAGUGCUUUCAGCGCCCAGCAGCGCGGCAGCGCUCCCAGCCCUGGGCCCGGGGACAGGGGUGCUGGGGACAGGGGUGCCGGGGACCUGCGCGCCGCGGCCGCACCUGCCCCUCAGGCCCCAGGACCGGCCCCGACAGCUGCCUGCGGCGGGAGGGCAGCGGCCCCGGCCUGGGGCGCGAGCGCUGCGGGGCCGCGGAGGGAACGGACCGAGACCGCAUUUCGGGCCCCUCGGGUCUCGGAGCGGCCCCCGCACCCGCACCCGCGCCCGCACCCGCCGCUGGGCCCAGCGACGCCCGCUCGGCCGAGGGACAGCUGCCCGGCGCAGGGCUCCCGGCGGGGCCAGCCUGUGCCUUCGCAUCCGGGUGAGCCUUGCACGCGCCGGGACCUUAUGUCUGCGGGAGCUUCCCAAGCCCCGGGGAAGGCGUGGCGGCGGCCCGGGCACCUGGGGGGCUGGAGCUCAGCGGGUCCUGCCCGGAACCUGGCUCCCGACCGACGCCACCGACGCCCCCGGGUCGGCCGGUUCCCACACCCCGCGCUGCAGCCUCCGCCGCCCGCCCGGGUGUGCACGGUGGGGGGCGGGGGGGGGGGUGGACAGAGGGGAGGGGAGGGGGGAGGGGGCACGGGAUGGGAGGGGAGAGGGGAUGGGGGACAGGGGGGGGGGAGGGAGGGGAGGGGAGGUGGGGACGGGAGAGAGGACGGGGAUGGGAGGGGAGAGGGGAUGGGGACAGGGGGACAGGAGGGGAGGGGAGGGGGACCGGAGAGGACGGGGAUGGGAGGGGAGAGGGGAUCGGGGACAGGGGGACGGGAGGGGAGGGGGGGGGGGGGAGGGGGGGAGGGGAAGGGAAGGGGGACGAGAGACGGAGGGGAGGGGGCAGGGGGGACGGGAGGGGAAGAGGGAGGGGGAGGGCCGGGAGCGGACGCGAGGGCGGGGGCAGGAGGGCCGGGGGCGCUCACCCGGGUUUUACAAACCGGCCGUGUGCGCGUGCGCGUCCCCGCGGGCCCGCCGUGACCCUACAGCCCCCCCAGUCGGGGCUUCGCUGAAUGCUGGUGCCGAGCUUCGGCCCGCCUCCCUGGGGGCGACGAGGGGGCGCAGCCGCCCUGCCCCGGCCCGCGCGGGCCCCACCGCCCCCAGGGCUCCCCCAGGGCACCCCAACCCCCCCAGCGCCCCCUGA